UCGCGUAUCGUUCAAUGGUGAGGACGUCUGGCUUUGACCCAGAAGAUGAAGGUUCGAAUCCUUCUACGCGAGCAA
rnacentral:tRNA from 1 species